rnacentral:rRNA from 2 species
UGGGGAAUAUUGGACAAUGGGCGCAAGCCUGAUCCAGCCAUGCCGCGUGAGUGAUGAAGGCCCUAGGGUUGUAAAGCUCUUUCACCGGUGAAGAUAAUGACGGUAACCGGAGAAGAAGCCCCGGCUAACUUCGUGCCAGCAGCCGCGGUAAUACGAAGGGGGCUAGCGUUGUUCGGAUUUACUGGGCGUAAAGCGCACGUAGGCGGACUUUUAAGUCAGGGGUGAAAUCCCGGGGCUCAACCCCGGAACUGCCUUUGAUACUGGAAGUCUUGAGUAUGGUAGAGGUGAGUGGAAUUCCGAGUGUAGAGGUGAAAUUCGUAGAUAUUCGGAGGAACACCAGUGGCGAAGGCGGCUCACUGGACCAUUACUGACGCUUAGGUGCGAAAGCGUGGGGAGCAAACAGG